rnacentral:rRNA from 1 species
GUCUAUGGCCAUACCACCCUGAUCGCGCCUGAUCUCGUCUGAUUUCAGAAGCUGAGCAGGGUUGGGCCUGGUUAGUACUUGGAUGGGAGACCAUCUGGGAAUAUCAAGUGCUGUAGUGC